AUUGAACGCUGGCGGCAGGCCUAACACAUGCAAGUCGAGCGGAUGAAGGGAGCUUGCUCCUGGAUUCAGCGGCGGACGGGUGAGUAAUGCCUAGGAAUCUGCCUGGUAGUGGGGGAUAACGUCCGGAAACGGGCGCUAAUACCGCAUACGUCCUGAGGGAGAAAGUGGGGGAUCUUCGGACCUCACGCUAUCAGAUGAGCCUAGGUCGGAUUAGCUAGUUGGUGGGGUAAAGGCCUACCAAGGCGACGAUCCGUAACUGGUCUGAGAGGAUGAUCAGUCACACUGGAACUGAGACACGGUCCAGACUCCUACGGGAGGCAGCAGUGGGGAAUGUUGGACAAUGGGCGAAAGCCUGAUCCAGACAUGCCGCGUGUGUGAAGAAGGUCUUCGGAUUGUAAAGCACUUUAAGUUGGGAGGAAGGGCAGUAAGUUAAUGCCGUGCUGUUUGGACGUUACCAACAGAAUAAGCACCGGCUAACUUCGU
rnacentral:rRNA from 1 species